GACGAACGCUGGCGGCGUGCCUAAUACAUGCAAGUCGAGCGGACCGAACAGGAGCUUGCUCUUGUUCGGUUAGCGGCGGACGGGUCAGUAACACGUGGGUAACCUGCCCGUAAGACCGGGAUAACUCCGGGAAACCGGAGCUAAUACCGGAUAACACCGAAGACCGCAUGGUCUUUGGUUGAAAGGCGGCUUCGGCUGCCACUUACGGAUGGGCCCGCGGCGCAUUAGCUAGUUGGUGAGGUAACGGCUCACCAAGGCGACGAUGCGUAGCCGGCCUGAGAGGGUGACCGGCCACACUGGGACUGAGACACGGCCCAGACUCCUACGGGAGGCAGCAGUAGGGAAUCUUCCGCAAUGGACGAAAGUCUGACGGAGCGACGCCGCGUGAGCGAAGAAGGUCUUCGGAUCGUAAAGCUCUGUUGUUAGGGAAGAAGAAGCGUCGUUCGAACAGGGCGGCGCGGUGACGGUACCUAACGAGAAAGCCCCGGCUAACUACGUG
rnacentral:rRNA from 1 species